CUAGCCGCCCGGGCACCCCUCAAUACCCUUUUCAACACUAGUUACAGAUUUUCCGCACCACUGGUGGCUUAUUUCAUCCUCACACAGACAAAUGCGUACAAGACAAGCCAUUGUCCCCACAGCAUUUUCUUAUUAUCUUGCUGAAAUGUGGUGAAAUGCAUUACAGUUUCAGGUGACUUCAGGAAUGUGGAGAAAUACUUUGCCCAUUCCCUGAGAAAAAGCUUCGUUAUUUUCUUCAUAUGAAUUCUGCUCCCAGUGAUUGACUCUUGUAUUAGCGUUUUGAGACCAAAAACUUUUCAGCAGACUGUUUUUCUAGGGUAAAGCUUUACUUAUCACAGUCUGCGUUUUCUUCACUCGGGCCCCAUUGCCACUGGUUAGAAGGAAUAGGUGAUUUUGAAAGUUUCUAAUCAACAAUGGCUACUUGCCUCAAUUUGGCUAAGGCAUCCUCCUCUGACCAAAGGAAGAAUCUUCAAAUCACUGAUGGCUGGCAGCCCCAAAGGGUGCAUAGAUGAAGAUCCAAGAUCAACUUAGGAUCAGAGACCAACUCCACUUUGGACUGGUGCAACAAAUCCCCAGGACAAAAUGGCAAAACCGAAAGCGAAGUUUCGUCCUAUGUUUAGUCCCAAUUAUGAGACACAAAUCUUGACAUACUCCUGCCUGUGCUUGUGACAUUUGACAGGCCUGGAAGUUAUCGUAAAGCAAAAAUGAGACCGGAAUUCUUCAUACAUAAAGCAUUCACUGAUACAGAGGAAAAACCAUUGGACAAGCAAGAACAUCACCAUUCACACACUGUCUCCGUGUCUUCCCAGCUGCACUCCUGGCAGUCCCAGGCAUCAGAUCCUGAGAAGAAGCUCUUCCCUUUCAGCAUUUUCACUCAAGUUUAGACUUCCCCUUGAGUGCCAUUUUUCUGCAUUGGGGUGGGCUCCGACUUGGCGACGUAGCCUGCACUCUCUCCCAUGAACUGGUAUUUUUGGUCCUGAGCCACAAUGGCGGCUGCCACUUGCUGUGGAAUUUCUUAGGGCUGUGAACCCAGCUUCCCAGGGAAUGUUCAUCCCCAGAACUGUUUCAGCUGGAGAACCACUUUCAGCAAGUUCCUGAAAUAAAGGGGCUUUUGAUGAAGUGUGCCUCUAGAGGCCUCAUGGGACAAAGCCCUGUGUCAUUUCUACUCAAAAGAGACCGUGCAUCCUAGGAUUUGAGAUGUUACAGGCUCUGUAUAUCAAAGUGGGGAAUGAUUCUUAAAGGUUGUUUAUAAACCAUGUAUAUCCAUGGCUUAGCCCCUCCAUAAGUUCCUCCCUUGGCUCUGAAUUCAAUUCAAAACAGCAUAAAGAGGGGCGCCUGGGUGGCUCAGUCGGUUAAGCGGCUGCCUUCAGCUCAGGUCAU